CUCAGCAGACAAUGGGCACUUCACAGCGGGAUGUCGCUGCUGGCCCAGGGCCAGCCACUGGGAAGGAGGCCUUGUCAGGCCCAAGCCUGAAUCUCACCUCAGGUGCAGCCCAGAGGUACCCAUGUUUGACUCUGUGGGCUGUGUGCCCACCCACCCAGCUACCAGGCAAGGCCCACACUUCCGCUGGGUGGUCUACGCUGCAGGGUGGUGGCAUUAAAUGACAGUUUUGAGGAGGGGGUCAGCACGGCUGGAUGCUUGGACGCCAGCUGCCCGACCAGCAGUCUCUGUGCCCAACCCUCGCUCCUUACACAUCGCUAUUGGUGCCCCAGGCCCUGUACGCACUAGCCUGUCUGAGCUCCUCCACUGGGAAGGCUGAGGAUAUCCCGAGUCAGGACGGCUCCAAGUCCCCCUCUUUUUGGUCAGGCCCUGAGAGGAAAGGAGAGCUGGGGGAUCCAGGGAGCCACCCAAGUGUGGACAGUGCGUGGUGAGUCAGGAGAGUCAGGAGUCCCAGCACCCACAGAGAUGCUGCAAGGGCAUAACCAGCCCUACAGGAGUAUGUCCGGCCCGGCACAGCUCGGGGAGGCCCAGUGAAGACAGACGGAGAGGACACGACAGUUCCAAAACAACCUUUUUUUUCCAUUUCCAGUCUGCAGGGGCUGGGGCUCUUCUCUGGGUGGGGAGCCAGGGGGUGGGUGGGUCUGGAAAAAGCCAAGAGCUGUUUUCACUGGCUUAGCCCUGCCGAAGUAGAGACAUCCCAGGGAAGUAACAGGAGAGCCAGCCGUCCAUUUCAGCUAGCAAAGCCCACUCCUGGGACUACCCCAGCGAAGGUACACUAAAAUCAAAGCCAAAGCCAGCAGGUGCCCCGGAAGCACUGGACUUCCUGCCAAGGACUCCCUAGGUGGGAACAGGACUGCACGGUGGGGGGGGUCAUCCCCCACCUGGGCAGACUCCCUCCCCCACAGCUGUGGAAGGGAAGAAGGGAGAAUAGGGCAGGCAACCUCCAGUCUGGGCCUGCCUUCUCUCAGCCCUCUUGGCUGACCUGCCUGGGGGAGGGGCUCAGGAGGACACUGGGUGGGGUCUGCAGGGGGUGGGGUGAGAACCCAGUCUAGAAGAGAGCAGGAGAGGAACAGGGAGAAGCUACCUCCCACUUCAGCAGGGAGGAAUGUGGGGGGAGUAGGGUAUGAAUGGGGGGGGGGGGCGGAAUGCAAAAGCUAACUGCCCAGAACCCUCCCCUGAACACCUACCUGCCCCCACACUGUAGAGAGCUGGUCUCCGUCUGGGGGUGUCUCCACCCACACCCAGCUCCAAGGCCUGUAGUGCCUGAAAGAAGUCAGAGGGCCCAGGACCCAUUGCCUCUCCAACUGGACCGAUAGCACUGCCCUCCUUAAGGCCCUAGACAGCUGGCCUGGCAGGGAGGAAGGGACGGUGCUCACUAGAAUCAGGCCUGCCAGGUUGGGCUGGGGAUUUCUGCUGCCAGGACCCCCUUCAGGGCUGGGCAGGGCUGGGCUGGGCCAAUGCCAGACUCACUCUGACCCUGUCCCUGUGCCAGGGCCCCAGAAGGGCAGACAACACUUCCUUUCUCUGCUCUUGGCUCCUAGUGGGGAGGCAAGGGCCCCAGGACUUCAGACAGGCCUAUGUCCCUCCCCGGGGCUACAGGAGAAGCCCCAGGACCAGUCUUCUUGAGGCAAGGGUGGGGAGAGUAGUGGGUGUGUGUGGGUAGUGUCCAGGCCCGGGCAAGGUGGCCGAGCACCGGGGGAAAUGCCUGCUCAGCUGCCAGCCUGGGCAGGCUCGCGGUGCGUGGGCAGCUGGCACUGGAAGAGGCCGGGCUACUUCCCUGACAGAGCAGGGGGCAGGGGUCUCCCUCUGGCAGAGGCUGCCCCGGAGCAGCAGGCCUCCCUCACCCAAAGGUGGCGCACAGGGAGGGACACAUACCUGUCUCAGUUAUGCCAGGAAUGUGGUUCCCCA